rnacentral:sRNA from 1 species
AUAGUACUAUUGUCUAUCAUCCCAGCUCUCAGUUUGCUAUUGUUCAGAGUACAGAUGUUUAUGUCACAUCCACUAAAUAUGACAUAAGCGAUGAACUACUGUUAGAAGCACUAGAAGCAGCAUAAAAGUCAACUAAUGGAGUUUUUGUCGCCGCUUCUGAUGUUAAAUACAUCUCUACCGGUAGAAGUUCUCGCUUCAGCUGAUGAUAAAAAGUCUUUAGAAAACUCUGAUGAUUCUUUCUCUCUCACUACAGGGAGUGAAUCAGAAGAUGAUGAGUUUGACGACGAUAACUACACUAUUGCUACGUUUCAAGCUGGGAAAGAAAUCGUUGUAUAUGAAGACAGCGGGGAUGAUGAUUUUGUUGAGCCCCCUAAAAAGAAAGUCAUGUUAAAAGAAAGUAAUGUUGGGUCUAUGACAGACUUUUUGGAGACAUUUCAAAAAGGUAUAAGCAUUGAUCAAGUGUAUGGGUACGACGACAUAGAGCCAAUGUUCGGAGAUGAUCGAUGAUAUGGAUGCAAAAGCAG